rnacentral:rRNA from 1 species
AUACAGAGGGUGCGAGCGUUAAUCGGAAUUACUGGGCGUAAAGCGCGCGUAGGCGGCUACUUAAGUCAGAUGUGAAAUCCCCGGGCUCAACCUGGGAACUGCAUCUGAUACUGGGUAGCUAGAGUUUAGGAGAGGGAAGUAGAAUUUCAGGUGUAGCGGUGAAAUGCAUAGAGAUCUGAAGGAAUACCAGUGGCGAAGGCGGCUUCCUGGACUAAAACUGACGCUGAGGUACGAAAGCGUGGGUAGCAAACAGGAUUAGAAACCCCAGUAGUCC